GAGAGCGACCUGUACAAGUCGAUCAUGUUCUGGAGGGGAGUCCGAGGGUAGCCGCCGCGGGAGAAAAAGAUGGAGAGCGGCACCUUGGACAGGGUGUCCACGGCCUUGUGGUAGGACUCGGCGGUGAGGGCAAAGCUACCAGCUCCAAACUUGUACCCCCAAUUCCCGUACCAGGGAUGGCCUGCAAUGACGGCAUGGAGGAGGCGGUAGUCCAUUCCGUGUUUCUUGGAUAUGUCCAUGACGCUGACCUUCCUGUCAUAAACAGAAACAUCCACCUGGUCCAACCAUGCCUGAAACAACUCGACGAACCUGACGCGGAGCAUCUGACACAGCCGGUCCCAAAAGCUCAUAAUAUCACAUCCUGUCAAGUAUUUAGAACCACCCUCUCUGCCGUUUACUCGUAGAAGAUGGCCGAAUCCGUUGGCAUGCACAAUUCCAUGCAGCAAAUUAGUAGAAUCCUCCAACUGCAGGUAUGCCCGAUCCUCAAAAGUGUCAUCCGUCGUCAUCUCACAAUUGCAUGAGUAACACCUGCAAAACAAAAGCGUCCCGAUCAUGUUAGUCAUAGGUACAUAAUAAAAGCUUUGCAUUUUUCA